CGGAGGGUGCGAGCGUUGUCCGGAAUCACUGGGCGUAAAGGGCGCGUAGGCGGUCUGCUAAGCGUGCGGUGAAAGCCUGGGGCUCAACCCCAGGUCUGCCGUGCGAACUGGUGGACUGGAGCACUGUAGAGGCAGGUGGAAUUCCGGGUGUAGCGGUGGAAUGCGUAGAGAUCCGGAAGAACACCGGUGGCGAAGGCGGCCUGCUGGGCAGUUGCUGACGCUGAGGCGCGACAGCGUGGGGAGCAAACAGGAUUAGAUACCCUGGUAGUCCACGCCGUAAACGAUGGGAACUAGGUGCUUGGGGGAGCGACCCCCCGAGUGCCGGCGCUAACGCAUUAAGUUCCCCGCCUGGGGAGUACGGCCGCAAGGCUG
rnacentral:rRNA from 1 species